rnacentral:rRNA from 1 species
GAUGAACGCUGGCGGCGUGCCUAAUACAUGCAAGUCGAGCGAACAGACGAUGAGCUUGCUCCUCUGACGUUAGCGGCGGACGGGUGAGUAACACGUGUAUCACCUCCCUAUAAGACUGGUAAAACUUCGGGAAACCGGAUCUAAUACCGUAUGAUAUAUUGCACCGCAUUGUUCAAUAGUGAAAGUCGGUUUUUCUGUCUCUUCUCGCUGGAUCCGCGCGGCAUUAGCUAGUUGUUAAGGUAACGGCUUACCAAGGCAACGAUGCGUGGCCGACGUGAGAGAGUGAUCGCCCACCCUGGAACUGAGACACGGUCCAGACGCCUGCGGGAGGCAGCAGUAGGGAAUCUGCCGCAAUGGGCGAAAGCCUGACGGAGCAACGCCGCGUGAGUGAUGAAGGUCUUGGGAGCGGAAAACUCUGUUAUUAGGGGAGAACAAAUGUGUAAGUAACUGUGGACGUCUUGACGGUACCUAAUCAGAAAGCCACGGCUAACUACGUG